GAACCUUCGGAAGAAGAAUACCAACCUGGGAGGCAUAGAAGAUACAAACUACGUAGACUAGAGUGACAGCUAUAUAAGUGUUCAGACCCGUGACUGUAAGCAGAGAAGAGGUGUUAAUUAAAGAACCACUGGCGAGCAGUCUGCAAUGACGAUCGAAACGAAGAUUCAGAUACUCGUAGCUCGAUGUUAGUCUGAGCUUCAUGUAAACGGGCAGGUAAAGGAUUGCCAAGGAGCUCAAUAGCCGUUAUAAAACUGGCAGCCAGGGACAUCGCCAUAGGAAAUGUCCCCAUGCUAGAUCCUCCUAGCAGAAAGUCCUGACUGGUUUCCUGCUUCUUAGCGAAGAAACCGUAGAAGGUAUGAAAAGCAUUUGAAAUCAAGAUGUACAGAAAUCAAUCUGGAUCUUUUACGCGAUCUUAAAUAUAUCGGUGAUACUCGAUCAAAUAUCGUUGAAUGCGGCUCAAGGAUACUGAAUGCCAAGUACAGAGAUCGAUCGAGUUAUUGGUUUUCUUCUCAAUUACCUUGCAGAUUGAAAAAGACGAGAGUACAAUGUUGCUUUAUUUUAUUAUCUUGAUCUUUUAAGUAAUGUAUUGCCUUCUGUUAUUGUUAAGAAUGAAUUAUUUAACAAAUUUUUAAAAAAUUGUAACUUCAUUUCAUCGAUGAAGAAUGUGAGAUUUUAAGAUAAUUAUCUUAGCGUGUUUACUGGAGUAUAGAUAAAGCCGUAAUUGAUUCAACGUGCAUAUCUGAAUUAUUGGUCGAUUAUUUCUACCUUACGUAAGCAAAGUGUAACGCACUAUCCUGUGUCAUCUUUAUGGCUAUUAACACCAGCUUUCGAUCAUCAUUAAAAUAUCUGGUUGACACUGGAUAGAACCGGUUAAUUCAGAGUCAUACAAAUUUGGAAAUGCACGAGCCACGAUGAAGUAACACCGAAUGAAUAUUCAAUACAUUCCUUCUUUCAAGGGCAAAGUGACGAAGGGCAAAGUGAUAAUUUUGAAGGUCGAAAAAAACAUAGAGAGUUCAUGGGAAUUCACCUGAAGAUUAAAAUCUAGAAGAAUAAAGUGUCACUGUGACUUCAACUUCAUUCAAACACCGGAUCUUUCCUUACAUACAAAGAACUGAAAGACAAGCUGUAAUCGAUAAUGAAUUUCAUAAGCAUUUUCGUUAUUGACACUGCAUCUAUCAGUGAUCCUCCACGAGCAUUAAAUCUGGUCAUUUCUAGUUGAAACCGGUUUCAUUGAAUUGGAAUGAAUGUUAAACCUCAGCAAACAAGCAAAGAAACAGAUCAAUUUUUUAUUUUUUUGUCACCUGACAUAAAUUAAUUUAAAUUAUCUUCUAAAUGAAAGAAAGAUUUUAGACAACUUUGUGUUUGGUAUCCCAGAAUUAAUUACAUGUUACAAAUUUUUGUAUGGGUAUCAUCUGUCCAAGAGCAGUGUUGAAAGUUGUACUUUUUACUUCAUAUUUUCUUAAACAAUUUCAAGGCCCAUUCUCUAAGUUUCAAGAACUUCUUCAAGUUCUCAAGAUAUUGGAUCUCUAAGAUCUUUGCCUCUUCAGCAAUAUUCUAUCUUAAAAUCUCUUUGAAAAUAAGAGGCUCAAAUGGUGGAGAUGAAAGUUUCUCAAUAUUUAUAUUUCUAAAAAUAAUUCUAUGUUAAUAAGUAUUAAAAAUCUGAUUUUCAGGAAAACCAAGAUGAUGAGUUCUAAACAAGAUUGCCAUAAAAAGGUGUAGACAAAAAGUAUUGACACCCAAAGAAAGUAUUCUUUGAAGUCAUAAAAUUUCUUACCUCAGGCUGAAAUUGAAGUUGAAGCUAGAGAUCCAGGAGCGCAAGAGAAGAAAAGAAGAGAGGUUCAGUGACAACAGAAAGUUGGCAGAAAGCGUCGGACAAAGGCUGAAACGAAUUCACUGAUCGUUCAGCGUCUCAGCUCGGGCUGAUGAAGCAAAGAAGAAGCGACUCGAGGGCGAUUAACUAAUUAAGAAAACGUCGUCGGCUUCACGCGUCUCGUUUGCUACGGAGCCGACGAAUUAAGCGCAGAACGAUUUCAGACUGUCGUUUUAAUUGUCACAUGUGCCCAUUUAUAUGAAGCAUCCCCUUCCAGACCGACAAGUUUCUUCCAUUCCGGAUAUUCUUAUGGAAACGACAACCAUAAUUAUAAGUAAACUACGAUAAUUGAAAGUGAUCUAUAUCGUCUCUUUUUAAAUUUUCUCUUUUAUAUUCACACAGGAUGGCAUUGGGUAAUUUCUUUUUGUAUAAUUAAUGUCAAGUUAUUUGAAUAAGAGUAAGGAAUACUCAAAGUUGAUUAACAAUUGGAAAUUGAGUGGAAAAGAAGAUUAAAUGAGUACCACCAUUAAUCCUUGAAUGAAAAGAUUUAGAUCUGUUUAAAUAAUUAGUAUUGAAUAUCUCAACAGUGAUUGAGUAGCAACCCUCAUAAUAAGGUAAUUUAGAUUAGAAAAAAGAGAACGAUUGAAUUGGAAGGAUCUCUUAACUAGGGCAUAACUUAAUUAGACCCAAAUAGAAUUACUGAGUUCAUAAUCGAUCCACGUUAGUAUUGUAAGCCUCUUUGCAUUCUUUUAAGUAGAAUUAGACUCUUCUACAGUUUCUGAUUUAAUAGUUCCACUUUACAGUUUAUGACAGAAAUUUAAACUAAAACUUCUUCCAUAUUUUUUAAUAAAUUUUUAUUAAAAAUCUUGUUUUUUCUUUUUACUAAUAGUAAUUAAGACUUCUCGAGUUUCUUUAAAUGUAAGGUUAACGAUGAGGGUAUAAAAAAAUUCCUUUCAUUAAAAUGUCGCAUAAGAUUCCAGAGCUUCAAAGUCAUGGUAAACACAAUGAAAAUUACAUAACUGGAAAUUGAUCCUCGUUGGUGUUUGACGCAGUUUGAUUAUGAAGCGAUUGUCCUCCUGUCUCUGAAUUUAUAAUUACAAUGGAUAUCAGGUAACACUGAAUAUGAAUUACAGUUUACACUAAAUUGCAUUAUUGAACGCGGUUAGCAUCAAUUACAUGUUUCUGAAAUUCCAAAGAAGUAUGAAGGAAUCAUUUAAUAGAGGACCAUUCCAAGAAGAAAGAAUAAAUAAAUCAGGGAAGAAUAUUCUAAAUUAAACUAUGAAGUUUCAUGCAGAAAGAAGAAAUAUAAUUAUAUCUAUAGGAAAGAAGUCAACAGAUGAAAGAAAAUAGAUUUUUAUUCGAGAGAUGUACUUUUUGGGAGCAGCAGAAGCACCAAGAACAAUUGCUAAGAUCACAGUACUCUCUAUGAUAAAGAGGACUGAUAAACUACCACUAGUGGCUCUAUUAGGAGAAGAUUGGAACAUGAAAAAUCGUCUCAUGUACUGAAAUAGGCCUGAAAACCAUGUCCACCGUCAGUUGAAACGGGAUUCAACCGGUUACUGCUCCACAGGGUUGUAAACAAACCACAUUUCUUAAACUUCUGUGUCCCUGAUGGUUUCACUUAACUCAUUCUUUCAAGAUCCUCAUAUUGACCAACAUAUUUAAAUUUAAAAUAUUCAGUAACUCAUCCAUUGCAUUGAAGGAACUAAUCUUAUACAAGAACAAGAUAUAAUUUUUAAAAACAAAUUAAAUUAUUCUUGAUAAUCAUGUACAGCAUGUUCUCUGUAUUCUUUGUAUAUUGGUUGUAUCAACUGAAGAAUCAUAGGUUUUUCUAGAUGAAUCAAAGAUGAUUCUUCAUUUCUCAUUUUAUUGCCUUUCUUGGACUCAAGGUGUAUAUAUACAAUUUAAGCAAUUAAACUGAUAUAUCUGACUCACUAUACUUGCAAUUUAAUGGAGCAAUAAUCCAAAAGAAAGAUUGUAAGGAAUAGCUUAACUUUUAAUUCAAUUUUAUAACUUCAAGAGUCACCAUAUGAAUGGAACAUUGAAUAAUAAUGUUACUGUACUAUAAAUCAGUUAAUGGAUUCUAUAUUAAAAAAAAUUUGGAAAUAUUUACAUUCUAUCUAAGUAAAAGUUUAUUGAACAUUUUAGAGCUACCUUAGCAGCUUCCUUCAGUGUAAAAUAUGUUUCAUACGCUGUUGUCACAUCAAUUUUUUGUGCAAAUAUCAGUAAAAUACAACUUUACAUAUAUAUAUUCCAUGCACUGAACAUACAAAUACUACACACACACGCGCGCGCGGUUAAAACAAAUUUCGUAUUAAAUACUCUAUAUGAUCUUUUCCGUAUCACAUUUUUCGGAUCAUUAAACUAUUCUACGACUCUCGCUUAAUUUCACUUACACAAUACUGUGGCAUUGAAGCCGUUAAUUUCAAAACUAAACUAAAUAUUCUAUAUUGUGAAAAAUACCAUAAGAAAGAGGAUGUAGAGAGGAGGGGAGAGAGUCCUACAAAAAUAAACAGAAGCACGUGAAACAGAGGUGAAUAUAAUAUACUACUAGAUUGAUAAUAAUGUACAAUAGUUUGAUUGCAAUCAAUCUAUAAUGAUUGUUUUCAUCGUUGUACCAUUUCAGAAACUAUUAUAGUAUAAUUUCAUCUGUACCAAAACUUGAAACUGACAAAGAGUCAUGGAUGCCAAGAAUAUUUGUCAUAGAUAAAAAAACCAUUUGUAGAAUUUCUUAAUAAAUUAAUUGGCCAUUAGACAAAACGACGUGAAAAAUGACGACUACGUUUCGCAAGAAAAAUAAUUAAACAAAGCCCGGUGUCGAUCGAAGCGCAAGUUGCAGAUAAAUUGAAACUGGUUUCAACUAGCCACUAGUAGUUUGAUCUGGACUUAUUAAACUUCUUUUGAACCGCCUUAGACCGUCCUUUAUCUUCUCUGGACAGUUUGAAGUUAUUACUUCAUUGCUUCUUUUUACCAAUUAAAUUUCAUAAAAUCAAUUCCUGAAAAUGUAUACAAGUACCAUUAAAAAAUGUAGUUAAAGAACAAGAAAGUAAAUGAAGAGUUAAAUACCUGAUAGAACUAGUAAUUAUCCUUAUACUAAUGGAAGUCAUAAAUAUCUCCAUUGUGAUGACAAAGCAGUUAAUAAUGAAUUAUUAUAACUUGCACUUAAUUGUAGUGACUUUAUUCUUCCUUAGGACAAUGAAAAAAAGAUCAGAAGGAAUUCGCAUUCUUAAUACAGUUCCACACAGUGCUUUAUUAACUCUUGUUGUAUUAUACAGUUUAGUUAAAGUAGAUGUCGUAAACGAUAUUAUUACACUUCACAAAGUGAACGACAAUUAAGUAUUUCGUUUAUCACAUAUAAUAACUAAUAGAUAUGUUAUAAAUAUAUAUUUCAAAAAUCCUGUUUUGAAAUUAUAAAUUAUUAUCUUUGUUUGUAAUACCUCUCUUUUUGUACAAUAUCAUAUGACAAAAAUACGUGAUUUUUAUUUAGAGGAUCUAUUAAAAUUUUCUAUUUUUUACUACAGUAUUGUACUUUUGUUAUCACCAUGCAAUAAUAGCUUGCAGUGCACUUAAACAGGUUAGCGUGUACAAAGAAACUUCAUUUACGUUUCUUCCCAUUGCAAACUUUAGUACGUCGUUUCAUUGCUAAAAUAUAUAGUGUAAAUAGUAUUUCUAAUCCUUAGCUAA